AGGCACUGCAAUCCUCUGCUGGAAUGGUCAUACAACUGUGGAGAGAGCUCUGGCAGCAAAACCGCUCCAGGUCCCAUCAAGCCCUGGUGCGUGGCAGAGCCCCGGCAGUCUCAGUGAGAGCACAGGGAGCCUGGGGCCAAUCAGCUCUUCUGGACGAUCAAAUGUCACUAUAAGUUGAGAGCUGCAUCACCUUGGGACGCUCGCAGAUCCUAGCCUGCCCGUCCCCUCCGACAGGGAGCUUGGUGCUUCUCUCCACUCCUCCCAGAAACUAAUUGCCAGCAUGUCUGAUACCGAGGAAGUGGAACAAGGCGAGG